AUUGAACGCUGGCGGCCGGCCUAACACAUGCAAGUCGAACGAGUGGCGGACGGGUGAGUAAUGUCUGGGAAACUGCCUGAUGGAGGGGGAUAACUACUGGAAACGGUAGCUAAUACCGCAUACCAUCGGAUGUUCCCCGAUGGGCUUAGCUAGUCGGUGGGGUAACGGGUCACCUAGGCGACGAUCCCUAGCUGGUCUGAGAGGAUGACCAGGCACACUGGAACUGAGACACGGUCCAGAAUCCUACGGGAGGCAGCAGUGGGGAAUAUUGCAAAAGGGGCGCAAGCCUGAUGCAGCCAUGCCGCGUGUAUGAAGAAGGCCUUCGGGUUGUAAAGUACUUUCAGCGGGGAGGCGUUACCCGCAGAAGAAGCACCGGCUAACUCCGUGCCAGAAGCCGCGGUAAUAC
rnacentral:rRNA from 1 species